rfam:Triticum aestivum genome assembly, contig: Triticum_aestivum_CS42_TGACv1_scaffold_514860_6BS
CGCGUACCAAAAACACAGGUCUCCGCAAAGUCGUAAGACCAUGUAUGGGGGCUGAUGCCUGCCCAGUGCCGGAAGGUCAAGGAAGUUGGUGAACUGAUGACAAGUAAGCUGGCGACCGAAGCCCCGGUGAACGGCGGCCGUAGCUAUAACGGUCCUAAGGUAGCGAAAUUCUGAGAGGAGCGUUGGUGAUGACGAUGGUGAUGAUUUCCCCCUCCCGGAGGGAA